UGGGGAAUAUUGCACAAUGGGCGCAAGCCUGAUGCAGCCAUGCCGCGUGUGUGAAGAAGGCCUUCGGGUUGUAAAGCACUUUCAGCGGGGAGGAAGGCGUUAAGGUUAAUAACCUUGGCGAUUGACGUUACCUGCAGAAGAAGCACCGGCUAACUCCGUGCCAGCAGCCGCGGUAAUACGGAGGGUGCAAGCGUUAAUCGGAAUUACUGGGCGUAAAGCGCACGCAGGCGGUCUGUCAAGUCGGAUGUGAAAUCCCCGGGCUCAACCUGGGAACUGCAUUCGAAACUGGCAGGCUAGAGUCUUGUAGAGGGGGGUAGAAUUCCAGGUGUAGCGGUGAAAUGCGUAGAGAUCUGGAGGAAUACCGGUGGCGAAGGCGGCCCCCUGGACAAAGACUGACGCUCAGGUGCGAAAGCGUGGGGAGCAAACAGG
rnacentral:rRNA from 1 species